rnacentral:tRNA from 1 species
AGCAGCGUGGCUCAGUGGAAAGAGCACGGGCUUGGGAGUCAGAGGUCAUGGGUUCGAAUCCUGGCUCUGCCA